rnacentral:misc_RNA from 1 species
AAGUCGUAACAAGGUUUCCGUAGGUGAACCUGCGGAAGGAUCAUUACAGUGUUAGGCUUCGGCCUCAUUCACACCCCUUGUUGAACCUCUGGUUUCUUUGGCGAUGUCAUGGACUCGUCAAACUUUAACUCUGGGAAUGCGAUACUGUCCGAGUGCCAUUGAAUGAUUAAAACUUUCAACAACGGAUCUCUUGGUUCCA